rnacentral:rRNA from 1 species
CCUACGGGAGGCAGCAGUGGGGAAUAUUGGACAAUGGGGGGAACCCUGAUCCAGCCAUGCCGCGUGUGUGAAGAAGGCCCUCGGGUUGUAAAGCACUUUCAGUGAGGAAGAACGCCUGGUGGUUAAUACCCAUCAGGAAAGACAUCACUCACAGAAGAAGCACCGGCUAACUCCGUGCCAGCAGCCGCGGUAAUACGGAGGGUGCGAGCGUUAAGCGGAAUUACUGGGCGUAAAGCGCGCGUAGGUGGCUUGAUAAGCCGGUUGUGAAAGCCCCGGGCUCAACCUGGGAACGGCAUCCGGAACUGUCAAGCUAGAGUGCAGGAGAGGAAGGUAGAAUUCCCGGUGUAGCGGUGAAAGGCGUAGAGAUCGGGAGGAAUACCAGUGGCGAAGGCGGCCUUCUGGACUGACACUGACACUGAGGUGCGAAAGCGUGGGUAGCAAACAGGAUUAGAUACCCCGGUAGUC